rnacentral:rRNA from 1 species
UACGGGAGGCAGCAGUAAGGGAUAUUGGUCAAUGGGGGGAACCCUGAACCAGCCAUGCCGCGUGAGGGAAUAAGGCCCUACGGGUCGUAAACCUCUUUUGCCGGGGGAUAAGGACGCCCACGUGUGGGUGUUUGAAGGUACCCGGAGAAUAAGCAUCGGCUAA